rnacentral:lncRNA from 1 species
AGACUUCAGGGCACAUCGAGUCUCCUGCAGGGGCUCAUCUGGAGUGCUCCCUGGAUGGACGACACUGGUGACCCAACGUGGCUCUGAUGCCUUUGUUGCCAGGGCCUCCUAGGAAUUCUGUUGAUAACAAAUUGUUGAUGUCAAUAUUUCAUGUCAAAUCAGCAAGAAAUUUAAUCUUUUUCCAUCGUGUCCAUCAGGCUCACUCUUCUCCAUUCGUCGGUGGGAGCGUUCCUGGGAGCCACCCGCACCCUCAGCAGCCCAAUGAUUGAACUCCGCACAGAGCUGACUGCUUGACAGAUGACGGAAGAUUCCUCCUCCAGCUGUCAAGAACUCCAGCCCGCAGUUUGCCUCCAACUCCAUCAUGCGGGACCGCUCCUCUGCAUCCUGGCUUCAAACGGCUGUUUGAUCAGCUUUUCAUCCAUUUUCCAAAAGUGUGGCAAUUUAGGGAUGUUCUGAAUCUUGCACUCUGACGAUAUACCAGUGUGGCCCCAAAGCUGACAUCGGAGUGUCAGAGCAGUGGAAUCUUGGCACGUGGCCUCUCAAAUCUGGAUUCCUUCACGUGGCAUAAUGCGAUUGCGUUCACCCACGCUGUUUGCGGGAUUCCCUCGUGUCGUCCGUGAUUCUGCCGACUGCUGGGUGCGCUCCACUGUGUGGACGACCACAGUUUGUUCGUCCCUUCGCCAGGUGAAGGAUGUGGGCUGUUCCCAGAUUUUGGUGGUUAUGAAUAAAGCCAUGUAAACAUU